rnacentral:tRNA from 1 species
GCGCCCGUAGCUCAGUUGGAUAGAGCGCCGGGCUUCGAACCCGUAGGUCGGGGGUUCAAAUCCCUCCGGGCGCG